UACGGGGGGGGGCAAGCGUUGUUCGGAAUUACUGGGCGUAAAGGGUCCGUAGGUGGCCAACUAAGUCAGACGUGAAAUCCCUCGGCUUAACCGGGGAACUGCGUCUGAUACUGGAUGGCUUGAGUUUGGGAGAGGGAUGCGGAAUUCCAGGUGUAGCGGUGAAAUGCGUAGAUAUCUGGAGGAACACCGGUGGCGAAGGCGGCAUCCUGGACCAACACUGACGCUGAGUGAGCGAAAGCCAGGGGAGCAAACGGG
rnacentral:rRNA from 1 species